GUGGGGGUGGGCUGGGGUUGGAUGACCAGUGAGGGUGACGGAGGGUGACUUGUGCUGUCCCCAGGUGCUCUGUUCUGCACCUCCUGAUUCACACCACUGCCUCUGCAUAAUGCACAUAAAAACCCACCAGCAACAACGCGCCAACCCGUCAGAAACUGGGCUUGUCAGCACCAGUGCAAGGAUGGAUUGUUUCCUUCAUUCCAGUGAGUGCCGAGUGAGUGCUGAACUCCAAAUGCUUUCGCUUUUGUGUUUUGUGUCGCUGGGGUGUUUGUGCUGACUCAGGACAGACUGCGAUAAUAAUAAUAAGAGGUUUAAAUACUUAAUGUUAACCAUUCUGCUGGCUGGGUGAGGACAUUGUGUUUUACAGAAAGCUGUGGCAGGGCACAGUUUGCAGAGCGCUGUGGGGUGUUUUUCUCUUUAAAUGCUAAAACUCUCUGCAGGAGCUCCGUGCCUGCUUUCUCUCUGGUGGCCACAGCACUUUGCCACACUGCUCCGUGCUGGGCAGACAGCAGUCACAUCAAUUACAGCAUCGUUCCUGAGCCCCGAAACUCAGCUGCUCCUCGGUAAGGAGGAUGAGCUGUAGGCAAGGUUGGGGAAUUGAAGAAAGCUUUAAUAUUUUCCUUUAAAGAAAACUUUAAUAUUUUCCUUUCUGAGUCAUACAGACUGUGCCCGGGGCAUCGUCAUUCCUAGAGGAACGUGUUGGCUGUCGCAUGGACGGGGCAGACAGUGCUGCGAUGUAAUGCUAUCCCAGUGCUCAUGUAACUGGGCUUCUGCCUGGCGUCCUGGAGACAGGAGAGGAAGGAGGGCAGCCCUGAUGGGUAUCUGGCUUGUAUCAUUCAUAGAGACACCUUGGCCAUGAGGUGGGCAGAGCACUGUCACACACACAGUCUUGGAACAGGUCCUGUAGAAAACACAUGGAGAUGCCCUCAUCCACGGGCAUGGAUGAGCAAACGCUGAGGUCAGAACUGUCCCCGUUCUCUGGGUGGUGGCCCUGGGAUGUGUGGCAAAACCACGGUGCAGAGCGCUCAUGGUGCAACCGUGGUGCAUGCUUACAAUCACAUCGUUGGUGUUCCAGGGACGGCUGCAGCCCCUCCAUCUACAGGAGCAGCAUUUCUGCCCAUGCCUUCUGCCCAUGCUGCUUUGCCCCCUGGCCUUUGGAUUCCAGGUGCCCACACAGCACAGCUUUGGAGGGCUCAGGAUGCUGUUUCUCCGUGGAUUCAUCACCCCGAAGCCCCUUCUGAUGGAUCUGCUGGAGGAAAUUGCAGGUGUUCCUUCACAAUCAGCCCAGCACUGCUGCUCUGUGGAUGUUACGAAUGCACUGCAGUUGGGUUUGGAGAAUAAAGGCCCCUCUCUGCUUUCCCGAAAGAGCAAACGUGGGAGUCUGAGGAGAAGGCGUUUGCAGAGGAGAAAAGAGUGCUGUGCAGGAGUGCAGGAUGGGUACACUGAGUCGUUCUUACGAAAAACUAAAUCCAGGCACUGCAGUGAAUGAAGCUCCAGUGGACCUUCCAGCUUUUCAUUAUAACACAGCAACGAGCAAUUUACGCCUAUUUAGAAUGAGGGGGCAAACUGCAGAAGGGCUCAGCACAACGUCUCCAGGGAGCCAGAGUGGAAGGAGAAACUCACCCUCCCAAAGCACCCUCCACUUGCGAGGCACGUGUUCUGAUGUGGUUUUCCUUUUCCUAUUAUUUAGCCCUAAAAUAGAAGGGUUGGUCUGUAGGAAGCCUCUGCCCGGCGCCCCGCAUGGAUUACCAGAUUCAUAGCAGGGCUGCAGGAAUCGGCUUUUCUGGGAAACUCGGGAUUUCUGACUGUUUCCACUUCUUGGUGGAAUGAAAAGAAAAAGCUGCUCGCAAUUUUCCAUGGAGGUCACUCGGGAACAAAGGAAAGACUUCUGUUUGAUCUGUACCUCGGAGAGGCUCGUUUCCAUACAGGGCGCUUUAUAUAACAACAUGCCCUUGUUUGCUGAAUGCAGCCCCAACGUGCAAGAUGGAAAAUUUCACUGCAAAACAGAGGUCCAGCCUUUCUGUUCUGAAAUCUUUCAUAUGCACAGAAGAAUAAAAAACCAACCAAGCAAAAAACAACGCUGUAACGUGGGGGCAUCUCUGCAAUAAAUGAGGUGGAAAUCCAUCCUCUCUGCGUGCCCAGGGUCUCAUGGCAGCUGUGUUUCUGCAAGGUUUGCGCAGGGUCCCUUUAGCUGCUCCCUGAGCUCAGGCUGCACACCUCCUCCUGCUGCCUCGGGGAGGUUAUAUAAAGAGGAGAAGAUGUGUGUAAACAAGGCUUGCUUAAGUAACUCUCUGGCUGCUGAUUUCUCCCGCUGUCUCCUUUUCUUACUCCACCCCUCCCUGAGCUGGAUGGACACGAUGGGCACUCGGCACGUCUCUGUCCACGCUCUGCUCCCUGCCAUCCAAGGGCACAUCCAAGGUUGAACCUUGCAGAAGUUUAGAGCAGAUUCGGUGGUAAAACACUGCAGUGGAGUCAGAUUUGGUGUCCAGCAGUGCUUGGGAAGUGCUCGGCCAUCACAGCCUGGGCAAGCCCUGAGGUCACGGUGGGGGUCACCUCUCUGUCCCCAGCCACUGCCACACAUGGGGCCAUACGGUUCACUCUGCUGAAGCUCCUCAGCAUUCCCAAAAGCCAGACAUUUUGCUUGCUUUUUGCCUCCUCCAGGAAGUGUUAUUAAAGCCCUUG
ensembl:lncRNA